ACACAAUCCGCUCACAGACACACACACACCAUCUCCAAGAGACAUGCACUGUUCAAAACUACUGGAAAGCCGAAAGGCUGGGUAGCGAAUAAAACAUUACGUCCUCUAACCAAGUAGCAGCAGAUGGGGGAGUGUAGUUUUCCAGACCAGCAAGAUUCUCCGACGGGCCAAAAGCGAUAGAUUCGUCACGCUCCGAUCACAUCCGUCCCAGACCAGGAGAGUAUUUCCGAACAGGAGAUGAACAGGAACCGGUGCCAAUGUCGUCCAAAUGUC